rnacentral:rRNA from 1 species
AUUGAACGCUGGCGGCAUGCUUUACACAUGCAAGUCGGACGGCAGCGGGGGUGCUUGCACCUGCCGGCGAGUGGCGAACGGGUGAGUAACAUAUUGGAAUGUACCGAGUAGUGGGGGAUAACCAAUCGAAAGAUUGGCUAAUACCGCAUACGUCCUGAGGGGGAAAGCAGGGGAUCUUCGGACCUUGCGCUAUUUGAGCAGCCAAUAUCUGAUUAGCUAGUUGGUGGGGUAAGGGCCCACCAAGGCGGCGAUCAGUAGCGGGUCUGAGAGGAUGAUCCGCCACACUGGGACUGAGACACGGCCCAGACUCCUACGGGAGGCAGCAGUGGGGAAUUUUGGACAAUGGGCGCAAGCCUGAUCCAGCCAUGCCGCGUGUCUGAAGAAGGCCUUCGGGUUGUAAAGGACUUUUGUCAGGGAAGAAAAGGGCGGGGUUAAUACCCCUG